rnacentral:rRNA from 1 species
GACGCUGGCGGCGUGCCUAAUACAUGCAAGUCGAGCGGUUCUUAGGAAGCUUGCUUCCUAAGAUAGCGGCGGACGGGUGAGUAACACGUGGGCAACCUACCUAUAAGACUGGGAUAACUUCGGGAAACCGGAGCUCAUACCGGAUAAUAUAAGAGAUUACAUGAUUUCUUAUUGAAAGAUGGCUUAGGCUAUCACUUAUAAAUGGGCCCGCGGCGCAUUAGCUAGUUGGUGAGGUAAUGGCUCACCAAGGCGACGAUGCGUAGCCGACCUGAGAGGGUGAUCGGCCACACUGGGACUGAGACACGGCCCAGACUCCUACGGGAGGCAGCAGUAGGGAAUCUUCCGCAAUGGACGAAAGUCUGACGGAGCAACGCCGCGUGAGUGAUGAAGGCCUUCGGGUCGUAAAACUCUGUUGUUAGGGAAGAACAAGUAUCGUUCGAAUAGGGCGGUACCUUGACGGUACCUAACCAGAAAGCCACGGCUAACUACGUG